UACGGAGGGUGCAAGCGUUAAUCGGAAUUACUGGGCGUAAAGCGCUCGCAGGCGGCUGAGUCAGUCGAUUGUGAAAGCCCUGGGCUUAACCUGGGAAUUGCAGUCGAUACUACUCAGCUAGAGUAUGGGAGAGGGUAGUGGAAUUCCCGGUGUAGCGGUGAAAUGCGUAGAUAUCGGGAAGAACACCCGUGGCGAAGGCGGCUCUCUGGAACGCAACUGACGCUGAGACGCGAAAGCGUGGGGAGCAAACAGG
rnacentral:rRNA from 1 species